ACCCAAGGUACCACUGUAUCUCAGUUGGUAGAGCAUGAGACUCUUAACCUCAGGGUUGUGUGUUCGAGCCCCACAUUGGGCA